rnacentral:rRNA from 1 species
UGGGGAAUAUUGCACAAUGGGGGAAACCCUGAUGCAGCAACGCCGCGUGAGUGAUGAAGGUCUUCGGAUUGUAAAGCUCUGUCUUUGGGGACGAUAAUGACGGUACCCAAGGAGGAAGCCACGGCUAACUACGUGCCAGCAGCCGCGGUAAUACGUAGGUGGCAAGCGUUAUCCGGAUUUACUGGGCGUAAAGGGAGCGUAGGCGGAUACUUAAGUGGGAUGUGAAAUACCUGGGCUCAACCUGGGUGCUGCAUUCCAAACUGAGUAUCUAGAGUGUGGGAGAGGAGAGUGGAAUUCCUAGUGUAGCGGUGAAAUGCGUAGAGAUUAGGAAGAACACCAGUGGCGAAGGCGACUCUCUGGACCAUAACUGACGCUGAGGCUCGAAAGCGUGGGGAGCAAACA